CUACGGGAGGCAGCAGUGGGGAAUCUUGGACAAUGGGGGCAACCCUGAUCCAGCAACGCCGCGUGGGUGAAGAAGGCCUUCGGGUUGUAAAGCACUUUAAGCGAGGAGGAGGCUACUUGGAUUAAUACUCUAGGAUAGUGGACGUUACUCGCAGAAUAAGCACCGGCUAACUCUGUGCCAGCAGCCGCGGUAAUACAGAGGGUGCGAGCGUUAAUCGGAUUUACUGGGCGUAAAGCGUGCGUAGGCGGCUUUUUAAGUCGGAUGUGAAAUCCCUGAGCUUAACUUAGGAAUUGCAUUCGAUACUGGGAAGCUAGAGUAUGGGAGAGGAUGGUAGAAUUCCAGGUGUAGCGGUGAA
rnacentral:rRNA from 1 species